AGACAGUGUGGAAGGGGGCCGGAGAAGGGCAAAGCACAGAGGAGGACAGCACGAGGACAAAUAGAGAGGCCUUACCUUGUUCAAUUCUGAAAACAAACACGCGAUCUGGGCAGCAGCAUCGUCUCCGUGCUACGAGUGAGAAGCUGAAGCUCAGUAACUGAAAUUGCACAGGGCCUGCAGAGAAGACGCCAAGUGAGGACAGAGGCUUCCUCCUGCCCCCUGACAGCACUUCCAGGGCCAGGAUAAGUGGUAUCCUUGGCCAUCCGGAUAGCCACAAACAGCUGAGAGCAACAUGAACCCAUAGCUGGCCAAAGAAAUUAAUAUCACCUGCUUGAUAGCCACCUGGUUUUUGCCUGCCUUUAGCGGUAACUCA